ACGCGAGCUGGGUUCAGAACGUCGUGAGACAGUUCGGUCCCUAUCCGUCGCAGGCGUAGGAAAUUUGAGAAGACCUGUCCUUAGUACGAGAGGACCGGGAUGGACGUACCUCUGGUGUACCAGUUGUCCUGCCAAGGGCAUGGCUGGGUAGCUAUGUAUGGAAUGGAUAAGCGCUGAAAGCAUCUAAGCGCGAAGCCAACUUCAAGAUAAGAUUUCCCACCGCAAGGGUAAGACCCCAGAAAGACUAUC
rnacentral:rRNA from 1 species